rnacentral:rRNA from 1 species
GACGAACGCUGGCGGCGUGCUUAACACAUGCAAGUCGAACGCUGAAGCCUAGCUUGCUGGGUGGAUGAGUGGCGAACGGGUGAGUAAUACGUGAGUAACCUACCUUUAACUCUGGGAUAAGCCCGGGAAACUGGGUCUAAUACUGGAUACGACCAAUCUCCGCAUGGGGUGUUGGUGGAAAGCGUUAUGUAGUGGUUAUAGAUGGGCUCACGGCCUAUCAGCUUGUUGGUGAGGUAACGGCUCACCAAGGCGACGACGGGUAGCCGGCCUGAGAGGGUGACCGGCCACACUGGGACUGAGACACGGCCCAGACUCCUACGGGAGGCAGCAGUGGGGAAUAUUGCACAAUGGGCGCAAGCCUGAUGCAGCGACGCCGCGUGAGGGAUGACGGCCUUCGGGUUGUAAACCUCUGUUAGCAGGGAAGAAGAGAGAUUGACGGUACCUGCAGAGAAAGCGCCGGCUAACUACGUGCCAGCAGCCGCGGUAAUACGUAGGGCGCGAGCGUUGUCCGGAAUUAUUGGGCGUAAAGAGCUUGUAGGCGGUUUGUCGCGUCUGCUGUGAAAGGCCGGGGCUUAACUCCGUGUAUUGCAGUGGGUACGGGCAGACUAGAGUGCAGUAGGGGAGACUGGAAUUCCUGGUGUAGCGGUGGAAUGCGCAGAUAUCAGGAGGAACACCGAUGGCGAAGGCAGGUCUCCGGGCUGUAACUGACGCUGAGAAGCGAAAGCAUGGGGAGCGAACAGG